rnacentral:rRNA from 1 species
AGUGGCGGACGGGUGAGUAACGCGUGAGAAUCUGCCUUGGGGUCGGGGACAACCACUGGAAACGGUGGCUAAUACCGGAUACGCCUUCGGGUAAAAGAUUUAUUGCCCUAAGAGGAGCUCGCGUCUGAUUAGCUAGUUGGUGAGGUAAGAGCUCACCAAGGCAGCGAUCAGUAGCUGGUCUGAGAGGACGAUCAGCCACACUGGGACUGAGACACGGCCCAGACUCCUACGGGAGGCAGCAGUGGGGAAUUUUCCGCAAUGGGCGAAAGCCUGACGGAGCAAGACCGCGUGAGGGAGGAAGGCUCUUGGGUUGUAAACCUCUUUUCUCAGGGAAGAAGCUCUGACGGUACCUGAGGAAUCAGCCUCGGCUAACUCCGUGCCAGCAGCCGCGGUAUUACGGAGGAGGCAAGCGUUAUCCGGAAUUAUUGGGCGUAAAGCGUCCGCAGGUGGCGAUUCAAGUCUGCUGUCAAAGCACGGGGCUUAACUCCGUAAAGGCAGUGGAAACUGAAUAGCUAGAGUGCCGUAGGGGUAGAGGGAAUUCCCGGUGUAGCGGUGAAAUGCGUAGAGAUCGGGAAGAACAUCGGUGGCGAAAGCGCUCUACUGGACGGCAACUGACACUCAGGGACGAAAGCUAGGGGAGCGAAUGGGAUUAGAUACCCC